AGAGUUUGAUCAUGGCUCAGAUUGAACGCUGGCGGCAGGCUUAACACAUGCAAGUCGAACGGUAACAGGAGAAAGCUUACUUUCUUGCUGACGAGUGGCGGACGGGUGAGUAAUGCUUGGGAAUCUGGCUUAUGGAGGGGGAUAACGACGGGAAACUGUCGCUAAUACCGCGUAGAGUCGAGAGACGAAAGUGCGGGACCGCAAGGCCGCAUGCCAUAGGAUGAGCCCAAGUGGGAUUAGGUAGUUGGUGGGGUAAUGGCCUACCAAGCCGACGAUCUCUAGCUGGUCUGAGAGGAUGACCAGCCACACCGGGACUGAGACACGGCCCGGACUCCUACGGGAGGCAGCAGUGGGGAAUAUUGCGCAAUGGGGGCAACCCUGACGCAGCCAUGCCGCGUGAAUGAAGAAGGCCUUCGGGUUGUAAAGUUCUUUCGGUGACGAGGAAGGCGUGAUGUUUAAUAGGCAUCACGAUUGACGUUAAUCACAGAAGAAGCACCGGCUAACUCCGUGCCAGCAGCCGCGGUAAUACGGAGGGUGCGAGCGUUAAUCGGAAUAACUGGGCGUAAAGGGCACGCAGGCGGCUAUUUAAGUGAGGUGUGAAAUCCCCGGGCUUAACCUGGGAAUUGCAUUUCAGACUGGGUAGCUAGAGUACUUUAGGGAGGGGUAGAAUUCCACGUGUAGCGGUGAAAUGCGUAGAGAUGUGGAGGAAUACCGAAGGCGAAGGCAGCCCCUUGGGAAUGUACUGACGCUCAUGUGCGAAAGCGUGGGGAGCAAACAGGAUUAGAUACCCUGGUAGUCCACGCUGUAAACGAUGAAUACUAGGUGUGCGGGGACUGACCCCCUGCGUGCCGCAGUUAACACAAUAAGUAUUCCACCUGGGGAGUACGAUCGCAAGGUUGAAACUCAAAGGAAUUGACGGGGGCCCGCACAAGCGGUGGAUUAUGUGGUUUAAUUCGAAGCAACGCGAAGAACCUUACCAGGGCUUGACAUCCUACUAACGAGAUAGAGAUAUGUUAGGUGCCCUUCGGGGAAAGUAGAGACAGGUGGUGCAUGGUUGUCGUCAGCUCGUGUCGUGAGAUGUUGGGUUAAG
rnacentral:rRNA from 1 species